AUUGAACGCUGGCGGCAGGCCUAACACAUGCAAGUCGAGCGGUAGAGAGGUGCUUGCAUCUCUUGAGAGCGGCGGACGGGUGAGUAAUGCCUAGGAAUCUGCCUAGUGGUGGGGGAUAACGUUCGGAAACGGACGCUAAUACCGCAUACGUCCUACGGGAGAAAGCGGGGGAUCUUCGGACCUCGCGCCAUUAGAUGAGCCUAGGUCGGAUUAGCUAGUUGGUGAGGUAAUGGCUCACCAAGGCGACGAUCCGUAACUGGUCUGAGAGGACGACCAGCCACACUGGGACUGAGACACGGCCCAGACUCCUACGGGAGGCAGCAGUGAGGAAUAUUGGACAAUGGGCGCAAGCCUGAUCCAGCCAUGCCGCGUGCAGGAAGACGCAUCUAUGGUGUGUAAACUGCUUUUGUACGGGAAGAAACACUCCUACGUGUAGGAGCUUGACGGUACCGUAAGAAUAAGGAUCGGCUAACUCCGUGCCAG
rnacentral:rRNA from 1 species